rnacentral:lncRNA from 1 species
AAACCACUAAAGCUUACUGAGAACUGGCCUCAGAACUGACAGCCAUCUGGGCUAACAUUUGCCCAGCACAGCCUUCAGACAGACUAUGGCAAUGUCCAUCAAAAACAGAGCUGAGCCUGACUGCAGACCAAGCCAGCCCUGCCAUACCUUGUCCCAUCGGAUGCUUAAAGACAGGACAGUGAAAGGACACAGCCAAAACCCACAUCAUGAUACAAAUGAUAAAUUAUAUUUAUACAGUAAAGUAUCAACAGUCAACACAAAUCCAAAACCACCCACCAGCCCUGGGACUGAGAAGCAGCGGGGUGACUUCCUUCAGGGUAUUCAUCAAGAAGGGCAUGGUGGCACGUGUGCAACACACAUGGCAGUGGCCAGCGGCUUCAUGAUCAGUGCAGCGGGUAACAGGGACAUGCGCUGGGUGGCCUGUGGGAGGAAGAGCCCAAUGGCUACUGGGAUGGGGAUCCAGUCAGAUGGGCUCUUGUCUUCUGGAGCAGAAUCACGGGCCCACAGCAGGCAGUUCUGGCCCUAGCCUAUACCAUCUGAAGGAAGCAGUCUGGACUGGUGCCUGGCCUCCCUGCCCUGUGAUACCUCCAUCUCUCCCAGGCAGCCAUCAGCUCAGCCUUCCUGAACAGCAGAGCCCAAGCCUCUCCCUAGGCCUUGGGUCCUGGGUGGAAAGGGUAGUUAGGAAGGGCCCUUGGCUUGUGGGGCCUAGGAACAGCAUGUAGACUCAGACUCAGGAGGGGCCUAAGUGCAGUCCUCUCUCAAACAGUAAUCACUCAGUCAACUAUGUGGGUGCUGAGGGUCAAAACUUUCUCUGGAUGCAGAGAGGAACUGGCAGGUGGCUGGGUGUCCUUGGAGCUUAAG